rnacentral:tRNA from 2 species
CGGCGUAGCUCAGUUGGUAGAGCAGCUGAUUUGUAAUCAGCAGGUCGAGGGUUCGAGUCCCCCCGCC